rnacentral:lncRNA from 1 species
UCUCUUUUCCUAUUAAUAUACAUAACAUAGGCGACAUAUACGUAACAUUCUGUGUAUAUGUGAGAUUUUUGUAAUAUGUUUAGGGAGUUGAAAUUUUUUGUAAUAUUGAAAAGAUAAGUUGUGUAUUUAUGUAAUUUUUAAUAAAAAUAUUACAAAAAUCAUAAUCAACAAAAGGCCCAAACCCGAUCCAAUAUCCUGAUUUGGGACUAUAAAAAAGUACCCUAAAUUAGGGUUUUCUAAUUGCUCCUCUUGUUCUUUAUCCAUCCGUCUUUUCCGCCGUCGAGGAUGUCUGUGUUGGUCUUUUGCAACCGUCAUCUCCGAGGAGAUCGAGUUGCUGUGAAGGGAAGCUCCAUCUGCCCUUCAUUUUUGUGAAGUUUUUGAUAGCUAGAGAGUCUAGCUUGUGUUAGCACAGUAGAGUAGUUGAUGUUGUUCAAACACUUCUUGUACCCCUGGGUAUAUCCCGUGGGCUUGUAAUAUUUAGGACCCCCUGCUCUUCCUUGCUUACUUUGUGACUGCUUUAUGCUCUCAUGCUUGUUAAUAUUAUGCAUGUGAAUUGAUCUUCCUUGUUCUGAUUCUCAAAUUAGGGAUUUGUGUUUUGUCUAUGUUUACAAACUUUCUUAUUUUUGCUGGUAGCUCUUAGAAACUAUGAUAGUCUCUAACAAUUUCUGCAUCAAUCACUUCAUCAGCUGAAGCGUCUGCAACUGUAUUUCCUUCUCUGAAUGUAUGUUGUAGUUGUGCUUGAAUCGUAGUAACCCUCUCUCUUAUGUCUUCAGUUUAUUCCACUAGUUCCCAAGGUACUUUACACUGUUUAUUUAUCAUUCUCAUCAAUACUAGGGAAUCAAUUUCAAUUAUUACCUUCCCGAUUGCCUUCUCUUGUAUGUAAUGUAAGAUUCUUUAAUUGCCUGAGUAUUAGUUGUGACUCCCAAUCCUUUAGCCUUUACAUAAAUCAGAUCUCCUUUAUCAUCCCUAACACAAAAGGCACAAGCACUUAUUCUUGGGUUGCCUUUACUUGCUCUAUCAGUGUUACAUUUAAGAGUAUUCUUCUCAGGAAGCCUCAAAACUACAUUAUAAUAAUUUAACUUUGGCUUGUAAUUUCACAAAAUGUGCACCACUUGUGGCCAAUUCUCCUUCCCAAUAUUAAUCCAUGGGUACAUCUUCUUUACUUGCUUUCUUUUCAUUUCCUGACUCUGCCACACCAAUUCUCCAUAUUUGAUAUCUCCACCAUGUUUAAUUGCAUUCCUUCUCCUCCACAUAUUCCACAUAAUGAUUGUUGGAAUUACUUUAAAUAUGACUUCAGUUUUGGUGAUGCUUUCAUUGUCUACCAAGCCAUGAUAAUCUCCUAUAAAUUCAUGUGUUCUAUGUCAAUACCUGAAAAAAUAGCAAACUCCCUCCAUAAAUUUGCAGCUAUGGGGGGCUGUUAGAAAUAAAUAGUUCAUAAUCUCUUCCUUCUUUACAUCACAACACCAACAUCUGGAUACAACAUUUAUCCACAUUAUUUUUAGAUUGUCAUCAGUUGCAAUCCUCCUUCUCCAAGCCCUCCAUAAAAAAAAAUUAAUUUUGAAAGGCAACCCUUUCGCCCAUAUCAUCUUGUAUUCCUCUCUUUUCUCCUUUUUCUGCCUCAAUAGUUCCCAUGCUGACUUGACUGUGAAAUUGCCCUGAGUAUUACCCAUCCACCAUGGUACACCAUCUUUUUUCACACCUUUGUGGCUGUAUAUUCUCAAUAAUAUAAUUAGCCAUCUCUUCUAAUAGUACACUUUAUAAUUUCAUGUCAUCCCAUUCUAUAUUAAUACAGAAAUCCUUUACCUCUAAUUCCUCCUCUUUCUAAUACCUCAUACUUUUCUUAGUUCAGUUCAGUUCCUAGUGCAUGCAUAAAGCCUAAAAAUUUAAUCAAGUAUUGGAAACUUAGUCAUUUUUUGGGGCCUUUUAACUCGAGAAUUUUUAAAGGGGCCUUUCCGACCUAGAGACGUUGGUUUUUGAGUUAAUUCAUGUUUAGGGAUGUAAGGCGCAUGUCUCGAGGAAGUUUUGGAUUUUUCGGAUGAGGAUUGGGUCUUGGUUGGAUUUCGAUUCCAGAACCUCACUGCAAUAGUGGCGCGUCGCGGUGGUAAUAGCGAUGAGCCCUUCACGCAUCGCGGUGUCCCAUUAAUCAGCAUUCCAAUUAUGAAUUUAAAUGUUUGAGGGGCAGUUAAGUCUUUUCCCAUUGGCUCAAUUCUUAAAAACAUGAAUUUAAGCUUCAAUGAGGGCAUUAUUCACCAAUUUCCUCUAAAAAACAAACCCUAAUCAUUCCCCCAAGUUUAGAAAUUCCAUUCCUUUCUCUCCAAGAAAAUCAAGAACUCAAGUUUUCCAAUUCAAGAACUUUCAAGAAAGCUUUCAAGAUUGUGUUUCCCUUUCAAGCUUAAGGGCUUCGGGUAUGUGGGAGGUUUAUCCAUGAGCCUUUUUCACCCAUGGAGUCCAAAAAUCUAUUUUUUAUGUUUCAAAUUAUGAAUUUACAUGUUUAUGAUGAAUUAUCUCCUUGAAGCUUUCGUGAAUUAUGGUUAUAAACUGUUUUUAAAAGUGUUUUUCAUUGGAAUGGACCCUUACACGUUUGAAUGAUGAUAUUUUCAUGUUAAAUCCCUAAUUCAUGAUUUUAGUAUUGUAACUAUGUUUUAAUUACACGUUUUAUCCAUUCUCAUGCUUAAGUUCAUGACUCUUACGUGUUUGGUGAAAUGCCUAAGUGUUGAAUUUUGAACAAUGAUGCCCUACUAUGGUUUUAAAGCUUUUAUAUGUCCAUAUUGCUAUUUUCAUUCAGUGGUGGAGGGUUAUGAAUACCCGCUACUUAGCUAUUUACCUAGUUUUAGUAUCUUCAGAAUGCUUUCAGACAGACCAUGAGCAUUAUCAUUCAAUUAGUUAUCAUAAUCAAUUGUUUGUUCAGUUAAACUUAGUCAGUCCAGUAAUCAGUGUCAGUUUAAUUGGGAGUAAGAUUUAGCAUCGAGCGAGGCCAGGGAUGGAGGCUCACCUACCAGUAGAGGGUGUGACCUUUAGUAGCAGCCCCUGAGUUCUGGAACUACGUAGCCAGCGUAGGUUAGAGAUAUCAACCUGCCAGUUAAGAACCAUAAGGUAUUUUCUUGCCAGUUGAAGGUAAUACAUAUCUCAUUAGAGCACUUGCCAAUUGAGGGUGACUCAUUAGUCCUUCGGGAUAUUAGUUUAGUGGAUCCACACAACUAUUGUUAGUACCCGUGGCACGGUACUGAUACUCUUCCAAUUGGGGUCACAGGUUGGACCCCGAUUAGCUCAGAUUGGGUCAUAUCGGUUAGAUGAUACCUCACACAGUCUCAGUUCAGUAUUCAGUACAGAAUUAAAUUUCAGGUUUGCUUGACCAUAGUAUACUAUUAUCAGUUAUUCAGUUAACUGAUUUCAAUAUUUCAGUUUACAAACUAUUUUAGAAGCAUAUUAUAUGCUUGGUCAUGCAUUCUCAAACUUUACAUCUUUCACGCAUUUAUAUUCAGUUAUCUCAUGCUAUUCAGUCAGUCUUUACUUCAUGCACAGAAAUCCAUGCAUUUUAGCCUAACCUCAUCUCAUAUACCAGUACAUUUAAAGUAUUGAUCACAUACUCUUCUUUGUGCUAUGAUGUUUAAUAUCAUAGGUUCGUACACGUAGUUUUCCGAUCGCGCUUAGAUAGUUCAUCUAGUCAGGAGCAACAACAGUGGUAAAUUCGCAUUAAACAAGGACCUGUUAUGUUGAAGUUAGUUGGGGUCUGUCCCAUCUACUCUUUUCAGUCACUUUAGAGGCUUUCAGAUAUUUUAGACAGUUAGUCAGUUUAUCAGUUGUUUUAUCAGUCCUUUUAGUAUGUCUUUAGACGUUUAAACUUAUGAUUUGAAUCAUGUUUUUAGUAUUUAAAAUUAGAUGGCUUUUAUCUGUUAGUUUCGUACAUGAGUAUUUUGUUACUGUAUUUAGUGCUCACAGUAGGUACCAGCCCAUGAGUUAGCUUGUGGUCACUUGUGGUUGUAAGCACCAUUGUCGCAACUAGGGGGUAGCCUCGGGUCAUGAAAAAAUUUGGUAUCAAAGCCUAAGGUUGUAUAGUGUCCUAGGGAGUCUGAAAGCUGCAUUAGGUAGAGUUUUGUGCAUGUGUGUGAAGCGCACCAUACUUAUAGACACGAGGCUACAAAAUGUUUUAGGAAAAGUUUCUCUUCUUUUAGUAUUCAUGUCAUGCGAAUGAGCAUGAGCUCUAUCUAAACGCUCUUUCUAAUCUAUACUUUAUUCUGUUACAGACCAUGCCUCCCAGAAGGAAUAACGGAAGGAGGAAUAAGAAUCAGCUCACACCUUUGCUUAUUCAGGAAGAUCCCUUGAAUGUGUAUGUCUAUCACACCGAAUUUAGAGCUGCUUUUACUACCUUAGAUUAUUCAUUAGUUGCUCAGAACAAUCAGCAGGUUGUUGUCCUAUCUAGGGUUAUGGUUCAUGCUCAUUAGAGUGAGAGAGAGAAUCAUAGGAAGAAAGAGAGGGAGAAUAAGAGGAUCAAAAUAAGUAGUUUUAAGCCAAGGUCAGAUGGUGGUAACCGCUCCCAGUUCCAUCAGAACUUCACAGCCCCAGGUCCUUCUACAACUAGUGUGCCAGUGCCAAAAUUUAGAAAUAACAGUCGGGAUAGAGGGUCAGGCUCUAAGUUGUAGAGCAACAUAAACAGUUGUUUUACCAAUCUACUUUAUCGGAGAUGUGGUAAAAAUCAUCAGGGUGUAUGUAGGGCUGGUAGUGGUGUUUUUUUGGGUGUGGCAGGACAGGCCACAGGGUCAGAGAGUGUCCAGUAGUAGCUCAGAAGGGAAAAGAUUUGCGCUAAUAAGGCCAGUCCAAUCAUCCUUCAGCUCCAGCAGGUCGCCCGACUCAGCAGGGUGCCACUUUCAGUGCCACCAGUGGUCAGCGCCAAAAUAGACUUUAUGCACUCUAAUCCCGACACGAUCAGAAAAGUUCUCCUGAUGUGAUUAUGGGUAUGUUACAGGUCUUUCAUCUUCGUGUUUAUGCUUUAUUAGAUCCCGAAGCUUCACUUUCUUUUGUAACCCCUUGUAUAGCUAUCAAUUUUGGUGUCAUUCCUGAAUUUCUAGUAGAGCCCUAUUCAGUAUCUAUUCAAGUAGGUAAACCUAGUAUAUCCAGACGGGUAUACAGAAAUUUCCCGAUUACGGUAUCCCAGAAACUCACUUUAGUUGAUCUUGUGGAGUUAGAGAUGACUGAUUUUGAUGUCAUUCUUGGCAUGAAUUAGCUCCAUUCAUGCUAUGCUUCAAUUGACUGUAGAAAUAAAGUCGUUUAGUUUUAGUUCCUCAAUGAGCCAAUCAUCGAAUAGAUGGGUAGUAUCCCAGUGCUUAGGAGUCAGAUAUGCUUUUAGAUCCCUUCUCAUAAUCCUAUGAUAGCAUAUGACCUAGAUUUAGAAGCAUGAACCUAGAAAUUUAGUAGCAGUAAAGUAGGAAUAGUGUUAUUUGAAUUUGGUGGAUUAUGUAUCCAUGAGGCUAGUUGUAUUGAAGGUGAGUUAGUAGGCUUGAAACAGUGUAUGCAAGAUUUAAGUUGUUGAUUCAAAAUUAAGUAUGAUGAUGUGUUAUUAUGUGCGAAUGAGGUUAUAUGGUAUAUGAUGUUCUUAUCAGUUAACUUAUGGGUUAUAAGUUGAUGAUGUUAGUUAUGUUGGUGUAAUGAUAUUUCUCAUAGUGUAAGGAAAAUAUAAGUUAAGAGUUGUGAUAUUAGUAGGUUGUGAAGGAAGUUAGUAUAGUUCAGUAAGGGUUUGGAGAUAUCCAUGUUAAUUGUUAAAAUCUAAUUUUGAAUCUUUGAAGAUUGAGCUAACAGAAAGAGAGUUGAAACUUUAGGUGUGUGAACUCAGGAUAUGGUGAUACUACUAAAAAUUCUAAGUUAGUAAGUGUUCAAGUUAUUAUACCAUGACUAUGGGGGCUGUAGAAAUUAAAGAAUUGUAUAUUAGAAGAAAGUACUAGCAGUGGGUCUUACAUUAUCAGGCAUAGUCUUUCAUAGUGAGUUUAGCAUUUAUGCGUAUUAUUAUAUCACCAACUUAGGAUGAUAGAUUGAAGCUAAGGGGGAGAUGAUAGAAUAAGUAACCAAGUUAGGCUCUCAGAUCCUAGUAGUGAUGCCAGUAUAUGUAGAAAAAUAGUAAGGGGGGAUGAUGCCCAACCCAUUCUUAUUUCAGUCUUUGUACUUCAGCUAUCGUGAUAUCUACUCAUACUUGAUAUGUUAGCUCUCUGAUCACGGCUCAUAUUUAUGCACUUUAUAGAAAAUCGUGUAUGUUUUUAGUUUUUAGUAUAAAGAGUUCCAAUUUACUCAGCAGCCCAAAUCAUAUUUCAUAAAUUUAUGAACUCUAAAUUUAGGUCAUGCGGCUCAUGACUCAUGUACUCAUGCUUUGCAGUAGUUCCAGUUCUAGGUACUCAUGAUACACUCUUGAUGAUCAUCGAAAUCCAUAUCAUGUCAUUUACGUCCUCAGUUUAGAUCUCUUUAAUAAAUUCAUGAUGCUAAUACUUUAUUCCUCGGGCCUUAGUUAAGUUUCCCAGUUAUGCAUAGUACUCUUUCAUGCUUCAGGUCCUCAUGUUCAAACCUUUCAAUAACCUUUCCUUAUGUCAAGAUAGUGAUGAUGAACAGUUGUUUAGAUGGUAGAGAAUAAAUGUUUCUUGUUGACGAAAGCUUGUUGUAUGCCUGUUUGAUCUAAGGUUAUAACUGUGAAUUAAGAUUGAGGCCAAGUUUUUGAUAUAUGUCAUGGUUAUUCGAAAUUUUGUGUGUGGUUCUCUUAAGAAUAAUGGAUGGAAGUUGUUAAUGAUAGAGGUUUGGAGGAUAUGAGAAAGAUGUUUUUAUGGAUAUUUAUUUAGAAGUUCAUGUGUGGUUAGGAAGAUAGGCUUGAAUGUCAUGUUGGUGUAUAAGUGGAUGACUGCAUUGCGUGUUAGUAUUCCUAGUAAAAGGUUGAAUAUAGUUGUUGAAGUGGUAAUCCGAAUUAUUCAUGAGAUGGGAAGUUGUGGAACGCAGGUUGUAUUGAAUUCAUGAUUCCGACUAGUAUUACAGUGUUAUGGGUGCACUUUGUAGAUUUGAGUAGGCUUGAAUAUAAUAAAAGAAUUUAGUUCAGCUCAGACUUACGUAGCUAGGGUUAUCAGUGCCCAUGUGAAUAUUUUUAAUUGCCUUAAGUGAAGUGCGAUAGUGAAGUGAUAUGUACAGUUGAGGGAGUAUUUGAGAAGUACAUCUAAGCUUGAAAGUAGCAGUUGCAUUGUUUAAGGGAUACCAAUCCUAUCCUAGCUUAUAUUUCGUAGGCGUAUGUUCUAUGUCAUAGAAUUUUAGCCGUGUUGGGAUUCCUUAUACAGAUUUCUAAUUCAGAUCAUGCUCAAAAUUCUUUGCUCUCUACUGUUAUUAGAAUUUCUUAGAAAAAAUUGUUGGAGAAAUUCUCUAGUUGAGUAUAAGCUUUUGGUAUGAGUUAAUCCAUAAAGCAACAAUUCAGUUUAGAAGUCAAACAUUUAAGUUUCUAUGGUUUUCCAUGUAUCCAUCUGGUCAUACUAUCCGAAGUCUCAUGAAUAUGGCUAUUCUAAGAGGUAAAAUGUUUGUAUUUUGGUAAUUUGUGAAUUCAGCUAAGUUCGCGCAUCACGCAUUAGUUUCAAAUUCCAGAUAUUCAGUCAUGAUUCAGGCUGUAAGUAUCCCGUGUAUCAUCUCAGUCCUUCCUUAGUAUUGCAACCAAGUCAAUUUCAUUCGGGGGACAAGAUAUCCCUAAGGGGAGAUGUACUAUAAUGCCCCGAGGUUUCAUGUCCUAAACCUCUCAACUUUUCUUCACGAAAUAAGAUCCAACUUGAAGUAAUGGGUACUCAUAAGUUAACUCUCUCAUUUCUAUCUCAGCUUUAUAACCAUUCUCAUAUCAUUGUAUACAUUCACGAAAUCAGUUCAGUCAUGUAUCAUGUAAUCAUAUUUUCAGUUAUGCAUGUUUAGUAGGUGAUCUCAGUUGCCAUAGUUCAGAAAUCUGAUCUUAAUUAGUCUCAUUCGAGGACGUAUGUUUCCAAAGGGGAGAUAUUUUAAUACCCCAUACUUUUUUUAGUUUAGUUCGGCUCCUAGUGCCUGCAUAAGAGGCUUGAAUCCUAAAAAUUUAACUAAGUGUUGGGGACUUAGUCAUUUUUUUAGGCCUUUUAACUUUGAGGAUAUUUAAAGUGGCCUUCCUGACCCCAAGACGUUGGUUUUCGAGUUAAUUCGUUUUCAGGGGUGUACGGAGCAUGUCUAGAAAAAGUUUUGGAUUUUUCGGAUGAGGAUUGGGUCAUGUUUGGAUUUCGAUUCUAGAAUCUCACCGUGAUAGUGGCAAGUCGCGAUGGUAAUAGUGAUGAUCCCUUCAUCACGUCGCGGUGUCCCAUUAAUCAGCAUUCCAGUUAUGAAUUUAAAUGUCUGAGGGGCAAUCAAGUCUUUUUCCAUCGACUCAAUUCGUAAAAACAUGAAUUUAAGCUUUAAUUAGGACAUUAUUGGCACAUAUUCUCUAAUUUUCUCUUAAAAAAAAACCUAAUCAUUCCCCCAAGUUCAAUUCCAUUUUUUUAUCUCCAAGAAAAUCAAGAACUCAAGUUUCCCAAUCCAAGAACUUUCAAGAAAGCUUUUAAGAUUGUGAUUCCCUUUCAAGCUUAAGGGUUUAAGGUAUGUGGGAUGUUCAUUCAUAUGACCUUUUCACCCAUAGAGUCUAAGAAUCUAUUUUUUAUGUUUCAAAUUAUGAAUUUACAUGUUUAUGAUGAACUAUCUCCAUGAAGCUUUAGUGAAUUAUGGUUAUAAAUUAUAUUUACAAGUGUUUUUCAUUGGAAUGAGCCCUUACACGUUUGAAUGAUGAUAUUUUCAUGUUAAAUCCCUAAUUCAUGGUUUUAGUAUUGUAACUAUGUUUUAAUUACAUGCUUUAUCCAUUUUCAUACUUAAGUUCACGACUCUUACGUGUUUGAUGAAAUGCCUAAGUGUUGAAUUUUGAACAAUGAUUCCCUAUUAUGGUUUCCAAGUUUUUAUAUGUCCAUGUUGCUAACUUUAUUCAACGUUGGAAAGUUAUGAAUACCCACUACAUAGCUGUUACCUAGUUUUAGUAUCUUCAGAAUGCUUUUAGACAGACCAUGAGCAUUAUCAUUCAGUUAGUUAUAAUAAUCAGUUGUUUGUUCAGUUAAGCUUAGUCAGUCCAGUAAUCAGUGUCAGUUCAGUUGGAAGUAGGAUUUAGCACCGAGCGAACCCAGGGAUGGGGGCUCAUCUGUCAGUAGAGGGUGUGACCUUUAGUAGUAGUCCCUAAGUUUCAGAACUACUUAGCCAGCGUUGGUUAGAGAUAUCAACCAGCCAAUUGAGAGUUAAUAAGGUGUUUCCCUGUCAGUUGAGGGUAAUACAUAUCUCAUUAGAGCACCUGCCAGUUAAGGGUGACUCAUUCAUCCUUCGGGACAUUAGUUUAGUGGACCCACACAACUAUUGUUAGUACUCGUGCCACGGUACUGAUACCCUUCCAAUUAGGGUCACAGGUUGGACCCCAAUUAGCUCAGAUUGGGGCAUAUCGAUUAGAUGAUACCUCCCACAGUCUCAGUUUAGUAUUCAGUGCAGAAUUCAGUUUCAGAUUUGCUUGACCAUAACAUACAGUUAUUCGUUAUUCAGUUACCAGAUUUCAGUAUUUUAGUGUACAAACUAUUUCAAAAAUAUGUUAUCAGUUCGGUUUCAUGCCAGGUCCCUCGACUACGGAGGCCAUUCACCUGGUGGGGAGAUUAGUAGAGCAGUUUCAAGAGAGGAAAAAGGACUUGCACAUGGUGUUUAAUGAUCUUGUGAAGGCAUAUGACAGAGUUCCCAGAAAGAUUUUGUGGAGGUGCUUGAAGGUUAGAGGGGUGCCCGUGGCGUACGCUAGGGCGAUUCAAGAUAUGUAUGAUAAUGUAAAGACUCGUGUGAGGAUGGUAGGAGGUGAUUCAGAUCACUUUCUAGCUUUGAUAAGUUUGCACCAAAGAUCGACUGUUAGCCCUUUUUUAUUUGCCUUGGUGAUGGAUGCGUUGACUCAGUAUAUUCAAGCUGAGGUGCCUUGGUGUAUGUUAUUUUCUGAUGAUGUGGUAUUGAUCGACGAUACUCCGGGAGGAAUUAAUGAUAAGUUAGAGAUUUGGAGACAGGUCCUUGAGUCUAAAAGAUUUCGAUUGAGCAGGACCGAGACGGAGUACUUGGAGUGUAAUUUUAGUGAUAUAUCGCAGGAGGCUGAUGUGGUUGUGCAGCUGGACUCUCAGGCCAUUCAAAGGAGAAAGAGUUUCAAGUGUCUGGGGUCUAUAAUUCAGGGCAAUGGCGAGAUUAACGAGGUUGUGACGUAUCAUAUUGGGGCAGAGUGGUUGAAAUGAAGGCUCGUUUUGAGAGUUUUAUGAGAUAAGAAGGUGCCCCCAAAUAUUAAGGGUAAGUUUUACAGAGUGGCAGUUCGAGCGGCUAUGCUGUAUGGAGCGGAGUGUUGGCUAGUUAAGAACUCCCACAUCUAGAAGUUUAAGGUGGUAGAGAUGAAGAUGUUUCGAUGGAUGUGUGGCCAUAAUAGAAAAGAUAGGGUGAGAAAUAAGAUUAUUCGGGAGAAGGUGGGUGUGGCUUUGGUGGAGAAAAAUAUGCAAGAAGUACGGCUACGUUGGUUUGGGCACGUGAUGAGAAGAGGCUCUGAUGCUCCAAUAUGGAGGUGUGAGUCAUUGGCUAUGGAUGAAUUUAGGCGGGGUAGAGGUAUACUGAAGAAAUAUUGAAGGAAGGUAAUUAGGCAUGAUAUGGAGCAGUUACAACUGAGAGAGGACAUGAUCCUUGAUAAGAAGGUGUGAAGGAUGAGGAUUAGGAUAGAGGGUUAGAGGGUGAGAUUUUUUCUUUAUUUGUGUUUGAAGUUUCUUGUUCGUGGCUGUUGAGUGAUGUCUAUGUUUUCGCCUAGAUAGGUUUUUCAGUAGUAUCUGGUGGCUGUUAUAUUACCUUGUGGAUACUAGUGUUAGUUUAUUUUGCAUAAUGUACUAGUCUAUAUGUAUUUAUGUUUUAUGAUUUGCUAUACUGUUAUCGAUCCUAAUCCGGAGGUCUAUCGGAAACAUCCUCUCUACUUCUUCGGAGUCUGCAUAUAUUAUACCCUCCCCAGACCCCACUAUGUGGGAAUACACUGGUUAUGUUGUUGUUAUAUGUUUGGUCAUGCAUUCUCAAACUUUACAACUUUCACGCAUUUAUAUUCAGUUAUCUCAUGCUAUUCAGUCAGUCUUUACUUCAUGCACAUAAACUCAUAUAUUUCAGUCUAACCUCAUCUAAUAUACUAGUACAUUCAAAGUACUGAUCGAAUACUCUUCUUUGCACUAUGAUGUUUAAUAUCAUAGGUUUGGACGCUCAGUUUCCCGACCGCGCUUAGAUAGUUCAGCUAGUCAGCAGCAGCAAUAGUGGUGAGUCCUCAUAUAAUGAGGAUCUGUUAUGUUUCUUUUAGUAUUUCCGC